rnacentral:rRNA from 1 species
AGAGUUUGAUCCUGGCUCAGAUUGAACGCUGGCGGUAUGCUUAACACAUGCAAGUCGAACGGAAACGACAAGAGCUUGCUCUUGGGCGUCGAGUGGCGGACGGGUGAGUAACGCGUAGGAAUCUGCCUGAUAGUGGGGGAUAGCCCAGAGAAAUCUGGAUUAAUACCGCAUAAUAUCUAUGGAUUAAAGUGGAGGAUCUUCGGACUUCACGCUAUCAGAUGAGCCUGCGUAAGAUUAGUUUGUUGGUGAGGUAAAGGCUCACCAAGGCGACGAUCUUUAGCUGGUCUGAGAGGAUGAUCAGCCACACUGGGACUGAGACACGGCCCAGACUCCUACGGGAGGCAGCAGUGGGGAAUAUUGGACAAUGGGGGCAACCCUGAUCCAGCAAUACCGCGUGUGUGAAGAAGGCCUGAGGGUUGUAAAGCACUUUCAAUUGUGAAGAAAAGCUAGUAGUUAAUACUUAUUAGCCUUGACGUUAACUUUAGAAGAAGCACCGCUAACU